AUACGUAGGUGGCAAGCGUUGUCCGGAAUUAUUGGGCGUAAAGCGCAUGUAGGCGGUGCCUUAAGUCUGUCGUGAAACUGCGGGGCCUAACCCCGUAUGGCGAUGGUAACUGGGGUAAUUGCGUGCAGGAGCGGAAAGGGGAUCUCCAAGUGUAGCGGUGAAAUGCGUAGAUAUUGGGAAGAACACCGGUGGCGUAGGCGCCUUUCUGGACUGUGUCUGACGCUGAGAUGCGAAAGCCAGGGUAGCGAACGGGAUUAGACACCCCGGUAGUCCUGGCCGUAAACGAUGGGUACUAGGUGUGGGAGGUAUCGACCCCUUCCGUGCCGGAGUUAACGCAAUAAGUACCCCGCCUGGGGAGUACGGCCGCAAGGCUUAAACUCAAAGGAAUUGACGGGG
rnacentral:rRNA from 1 species